UUCAGGAACCCCCGGUACCCACCUCUCAAACUGCUGGAAACACUCAGAUCAGCAUUGUGAAAAUCCAUCUCAAGGAUUUUUCUGGAACUUGGCACCCUGCACUCAGCUGCUUGAUGUUCACAAAACAUUCCUGAAAAGAAGAAUGCUCUCUACUUAGUUGGCGGGUGCUUCAUGUACACGUCAUCAGCUCAAGCUCAAGAUGCCUAAGCCCAUGACAGCAAGCAGUGCUUAUGAAGGGUCCUAUUGAAUGGCUGAAGAAAGGUGAUCAGACAUCAGAAUUUAUAGCAGAGAAAGCAGCUGUUCUGUUCUGGAAAGUCAUGGAAUUGCUUUGGGGUGGUCCUCAAGAAGCAGUCAACAAACCUUCAGGUUAUGCCCACAUUUGAUGAGAAUGCUGACAGAUGAAGGCAUGCCUGUACUACGAUUUUUGCCGUGGACCACGAUCCUAGAUUUUGUGCUUGAAGACGCGGACAAAGCAGGUAAUUUCCAGUUUUCUCCUUUGCCGUCUUCAUCACAUCAACAAUAGCUUCCUUCAUGGAUAAGGGAGGUUCAUUAAUUGGAAGGGUCACAGAUAUGAUGACGUCCAGCAAAGUACUUAGGUUCCUGGACAAGAUGGUAGAGCAGAAGGACCUUGUGCUCACCUCCUCUCACAAGCACACCAAAGUUACCACUAACUGUUGAACAGCCGUUGAUAGAGACUGGAACCUACCAAAAAAGGUAUUCUAUAUCCAGAGACAUGAAGAACCCACAGCAAGACCGCAAGGGAUGCACUCUCGAUAUAAUCAAAUCCCAUACCCCCCAGACAGGCGACUGACAAACUGGGGAAUGAUUACAUUGCCGGAGCUCUCCCACAGGAGUGCGCUUUCCGAGCCCCACAUCAGAUUCUCCAGCCUGGGGGUCUGGCACUGGAGGAAGACCCGUCAGAGCUUUUGGCCUUGAACACCAAGGGGGCUUGAUUGCAGUUUUCCGCAGGACUGAGGGAAAGAGAGACUCACUCUUGGAGGGCGCACACGAGGUGUCAUGUGCCCUGGGACCCAGGGCAAAAGCAGCUGACUUCAUAGGAGCCUUUAACACUUAUCUGAAGAGAUAAUAGCUGAAAACAGCCAAGAACAGGAAGUGCAGGGAGUUCCAUACAGGAUUAACCCAGGGAGGGACAUGCCAAGACACAGUAGUAAUCAAACUCACAAAAAUUAAGGGGAAGAUAUUAAAAGCAUAAGGGAAAAGCAAUAAACAACGUACAAAGGAAUCCCUAUAAGGUUACCAGCUGAGUUUUUAGCAGAAACUCUGCAGGCCAAAAGGGAGUGGCAGGAUAUAUUUUAAAGUGAUGAAAGGGAAAAAACUUACACUACUCAACCCAGCAAGGUUCUUGUUCAGGUUUGAUGGGGAAAUAAAAAAUGGUACUGAAAAGAAAAGCUAAGAGAAUUCAGCAUCAUCAAACCAAUUUUAUAACAAACGCUCAAGGAAC